UACGAAGGGGGCUAGCGUUGUUCGGAUAUACUGGGCGUAAAGCGCACGUAGGCGGCGCCGUAAGUCAGGGGUGAAAUCCCGGAGCUCAACUCCGGAACUGCCCUUGAAACUGCAGUGCUAGAAUCUUGGAGAGGCGAGUGGAAUUCCGAGUGUAGAGGUGAAAUUCGUAGAUAUUCGGAAGAACACCAGUGGCGAAGGCGACUCGCUGGACAAGUAUUGACGCUGAGGUGCGAAAGCGUGGGGAGCAAACAGG
rnacentral:rRNA from 1 species